rnacentral:rRNA from 1 species
CAAAUCNCAAAAGACAGUCUCAGUUCAGAUUGUAGGCUGAAACUCGCCUAUAUGAAGUCGGAAUUGCUAGUAAUCGCGGAUCAGCAUGCCGCGGUGAAUACGUUCCCGGGCCUUGUACACACCGCCCGUCACACCAUGAGAGUCGAUAACACCCGAAGUCGGUAGUCUAACCGCAAGGAGGACGCCGCCGAAGGUGGGGUUGAUGAUUAGGGUUAAGUCGUAACAAGGUAUC